rnacentral:rRNA from 1 species
UACGAAGGGGGCUAGCGUUGCUCGGAAUUACUGGGCGUAAAGGGAGCGUAGGCGGACAGUUUAGUCAGAGGUGAAAGCCCAGGGCUCAACCCUGGAAUUGCCUUUGAUACUGAUUGUCUUGAGUAUGGGAGAGGUGAGUGGAACUCCGAGUGUAGAGGUGAAAUUCGUAGAUAUUCGGAAGAACACCAGUGGCGAAGGCGACUCACUGGCCCAUUACUGACGCUGAGGCUCGAAAGCGUGGGGAGCAAACAGG